GGGAAAGGCUCAGCACAAGCAUUCGUCACUGCAUUUUCAGUGACCUGGGCUCUUUCUAAUAUCCUUGGGGACCGAGAGCCCAGCAUGACCGAGAAGGAGACUUCCCUGGGAGAGAUGCUUAUUUUAUUUGAAGAAGUGGGGGAAGAAGGAAGGUUGUGCCUUGGUGCUGGAGAGAUGCUUGAAUUAUAGGUACCCCUCCACCACCACCAAAAAAAGAAAAGCGGUUUCCUUGGCAACAAGAGAUAAGAGAAAGUGCUUGUAAAAUUCCACCACCAGCUCAUUUUCAAGAAUGCAACGAAGCAGAUGGUUCGGAUCAUUCAGAUCCAUUGAAUGAUGGCCCAGGAAGUUUGCUGUGGAAUUGUGUCUCCGUGUAAUAAUCAGAAGCUGCACCCGUAAAGUCUCACCAACAUGUCUGCCCACAUGUGAACUGAACAAAGACGACACUAAUGAACAUGCCAAACUGGACAGAGAAGAGCUCACAAAGCCUCAACCCUCCCCAACUACAAGCAACAAAGGAAUGCUGCAGGUGCUGCAAUCUUAGAAGUCAGUCUCUCCUUCCAUCAUGCGAAUUCUGAGGGCAGAAGUCUGGUCAUCUGGAUUGGGAACAAAUCACCAUUACCCACUGAGCCAUCUUGCCAGC